rnacentral:lncRNA from 1 species
GUUGGAUGGUGUUUUCAGGUUCCAGGUUGGAUGGUGUUUCCAGGUUCCAGGUUGGAUGGUGUUUCCAGGUUCCAGGUUGGAUGGUGUUUCCAGGUUCCAGGUUGGAUGGUGUUUCCAGGUUCCAGGUUGGAUGGUGUUUCCAGGUUAGAUGGUGUUUCCAGGUUCCAGGUUGGGUAGUGUUUCCAGGUUGGAUGGUGUUUCCAGGUUCCAGGUUGGAUGGUGUUUCCAGGUUCCAGGUUGGAUGGUGUUUCCAGGUUCCAGGUUGCAUGGUGUUUUCAGGUUCCAGGUUGGAUGGUGUUUUCAGGUUCCAGGUUGGAUGGUGUUUCCAGGUUCCAGGUUGGAUGGUGUUUCCAGGUUCCUGGUUGGAUGGUGUUUCCAGGUUCCAGGUUGGAUGGUGGUUCCAGGUUCCAGGUUGGGUGGUGGUUCCAGGUUCCAGGUUGGGUGGUGUUUCCAGGUUCCAGGUUGGGUGGUGUUUCCAGGUUCCAGGUUGGGUGGUGUUUUCAGGUUCCAGGUUGGAUGGUGUUUUCAGGUUCCAGGUUGGAUGGUGUUUCCAGGUUCCAGGUUGGAUGGUGUUUCCAGGUUCCAGGAUGGAUGGUGUUUCCAGGUUCCAGGUUGGAUGGUGUUUCCAGGUUAGAUGGUGUUUCCAGGUUCCAGGUUGGGUGGUGUUUCCAGGUUGGAUGGUGUUUCCAGGUUCCAGGUUGGAUGGUGUUUCCAGGUUCCAGGUUGGAUGGUGUUUCCAGGUUCCAGGUUGCAUGGUGUUUUCAGGUUCCAGGUUGGAUGGUGUUUUCAGGUUCCAGGUUGGAUGGUGUUUCCAGGUUCCAGGUUGGAUGGUGUUUCCAGGUUCCUGGUUGGAUGGUGUUUCCAGGUUCCAGGUUGGAUGGUGGUUCCAGGUUCCAGGUUGGAUGGUGGUUCCAGGUUCCAGGUUGGGUGGUGUUUCCAGGUUCCAGGUUGGGUGGUGGUUCCAGGUUGGAUGGUGUUUCCAGGUUGGAUGGUGUUUCCAGGUUCCAGGUUGGAUGGUGUUUCCAGGUUCCUGGUUGGAUGGUGUUUCCAGGUUCCAGGUUGGAUGGUGGUUCCAGGUUCCAGGUUGGAUGGUGUUUUCAGGUUCCAGGUUAGAUGGUGUUUCCAGGUUCCAGGUUGGGUGGUGUUUCCAGGUUCCAGGUUGGGUGGUGUUUUCAGGUUCCAGGUUGGGUGGUGUUUCCAGGUUCCAGGUUGGGUGGUGGUUCCAGGUUGGGUGGUGGUUCCAGGUUCCAGGUUGGAUGGUGUUUCCAGGUUCCAGGUUGGGUGGUGUUUCCAGGUUCCAGGUUGGGUGGUGUUUUCAGGUUCCAGGUUGGGUGGUGUUUUCAGGUUCCAGGUUGGGUGGUGUUUUCAGGUUCCAGUUUAGGUGGUGUUUUCACGUUCCAGGUUCGGGGGAUGUUUCCAGGUUCCAGGUUGGGUGGUGGUUCCAGGUUCCAGGUUGGAUGGUGUUUCCAGGUUGGGUGGUGUUUUCAGGUUCCAGGUUGGGUGGUGUUUCCAGGUUCCAGGUUGGAUGGUGUUUCCAGGUUGGGUGGUGUUUUCAGGUUCCAGGUUGGAUGGUGUUUCCAGGUUGGGUGGUGUUUUCAGGUUCCAGGUUGGAUGGUGUUUCCAGGUUCCAGGUUGGAUGGUGUUUCCAGGUUCCAGGUUGGAUGGUGUUUUCAGGUUCCAGGUUGGAUGGUGUUUCCAGGUUGGGUGGUGUUUUCAGGUUCCAGGUAGGAUGGUGUUUCCAGGUUCCAGGUUGGAUGGUGUUUCCAGGUUCCAGGUUGGGUGGUGUUUCCAGGUUCCUGGUUGGAUGGUGUUUCCAGGUUCCAGGUUGGAUGGUGUUUCCAGGUUCCAGGUUGGAUGGUGUUUCCAGGUUCCAGGUUGGAUGGUGUUUCCAGGUUCCAGGUUGGGUGGUGUUUCCAGGUUCCAGGUUGGAUGGUGUUUCCAGGUUGGGUGGUGGUUCCAGGUUCCAGGUUGGAUGGUGUUUCCAGGUUCCAGGUUGGGUGGUGUUUCCAGGUUGGAUGGUGUUUCCAGGUUCCUGGUUGGAUGGUGUUUCCAGGUUCCAGGUUGGAUGGUGUUUCCAGGUUCCAGGUUGGAUGGUGGUUCCAGGUUCCAGGUUGGAUGGUGUUUCCAGGUUCCAGGUUGGGUGGUGUUUCCAGGUUGGGUGGUGUUUCCAGGUUCCAGGUUGGGUGGUGUUUUCAGGCUCCAGGUUGGGUGGUGUUUCCAGGUUCCAGGUUGGAUGGUGUUUCCAGGUUCCAGGUUGGAUGGUGUUUCCAGGUUCCAGGUAGGAUGGUGUUUUCAGGUUCCAGGUUGGAUGAUGUUUUCAGGUUCCAGGUUGGAUGGUGUUUCCAGGUUGGGUGGUGGUUCCAGGUUCCAGGUAGGAUGGUGUUUCCAGGUUCCAGGUUGGGUAGUGGUUCCAGGUUGGAUGGUGUUUCCAGGUUGGGUGGUGUUUCCAGGUUCCAGGUUGGGUGGUGUUUCCAGGUUCCAGGUUGGGUGGUGUUUCCAGGUUCCAGGUUGGGUGGUGGUUCCAGGUUGGGUGGUGUUUCCAGGUUCCAGGUUGGGUGGUGGUUCCAGGUUGGGUGGUGGUUCCAGGUUCCAGGUUGGGUGGUGGUUCCAGGUUGGAUGGUGUUUCCAGGUUCCAGGUUGGGUGGUGUUUCCAG